GACGUAGGGGGCAAGCGUUGUCCGGAUUUAUUGGGCGUAAAGAGCUCGUAGGCGGCUCAGAAAGUCGGGUGUGAAACCUCCAGGCUCAACCUGGAGACGCCACCCGAUACUGCUGUGGCUAGAGUCCGGUAGGGGAGCAUGGAAUUCCUGGUGUAGCGGUGAAAUGCGCAGAUAUCAGGAGGAACACCAGUGGCGAAGGCGGUGCUCUGGGCCGGAACUGACGCUGAGGAGCGAAAGCGUGGGGAGCAAACAGG
rnacentral:rRNA from 1 species